GAUGAACGCUGGCGGCGUGCUUAACACAUGCAAGUCGAACGAAGCGCUUAAACGGAUUUCUUCGGAAUGAAGUUUUUGCGACUGAGUGGCGGACGGGUGAGUAACGCGUGGGUAACCUGCCUCAUACAGGGGGAUAACAGUUAGAAAUGACUGCUAAUACCGCAUAAGCGCACAGUGCUGCAUGGCACAGUGUGAAAAACUCCGGUGGUAUGAGAUGGACCCGCGUCUGAUUAGCUAGUUGGUGGGGUAACGGCCUACCAAGGCGACGAUCAGUAGCCGACCUGAGAGGGUGACCGGCCACAUUGGGACUGAGACACGGCCCAA
rnacentral:rRNA from 1 species